rnacentral:sRNA from 1 species
CACAGAGGUCCCACUGGGACGUUUCCUCCCUGACUUGAGCGGGCCACUCCGAAAGGAGUGGCCCAUUUUGUUCAACCUGA